GUUGAAAAAAACUCCUUGUCAAAGCCUGAUCUCGUCAGAUCUCAGAAGCUCAGCAGGGUCGGGCCUGGUUAGUACAUGGAUGGGAGACCACUGAAAAUACCAGGAGCCACA
rnacentral:rRNA from 1 species